UGGCGGCGUGCCUAAUACAUGCAAGUCGAACGGUCUUUCUAUGGAAGCUUGCUUCCACUGAGAAGAUAGUGGCGAACGGGUGAGUAACACGUGGGUAACCUGCCCAUAAGAGGGGGAUAACAUCCGGAAACGGGUGCUAAUACCGCAUAGUUUUCUUGAUCGCAUGAUUGAGAAAGGAAAGACGGCCUUUGUGCUGUCGCUUAUGGAUGGACCCGCGGCGUAUUAGUUAGUUGGUGAGGUAACGGCUCACCAAGACGAUGAUACGUAGCCGACCUGAGAGGGUGAUCGGCCACAUUGGGACUGAGACACGGCCCAAACUCCUACGGGAGGCAGCAGUAGGGAAUCUUCCGCAAUGGACGAAAGUCUGACGGAGCAACGCCGCGUGAGUGAAAGAAGGUUUUCGGAUCGUAAAACUCUGUUGUCAGAGAAGAACAAGUUGGAGAGUAACUGCUCCAGCCUUGACGGUAUCUGACCAGAAAGCCACGGCUAACUACGUGCCAGCCGCCGC
rnacentral:rRNA from 1 species